CUUCUCCUCAACCUCAACUCAGAAGGAACUGCCGAUCUAUCCGCCACCAGCCCGCCGCCCCUCCCCAUAUCCUGCAGUACCCGUAUCCCGCCGCCACCGUGAGAGCAGCAAGGGGCAGCGCCAUAGCCAAAGCCGGCUGCCUUCCUCGACUCCACCGUCGAGGCUACCGCCGUGACUCCGUGGGGCGGUUCAGCGCCGUGUCGGCCUCCUUCCUAUCCUGCCGGGCCCCGCUGGUCGGUCUCCUCCUGGACGAGCUCUCCGACGAGGCCGCACCUCCUCCUCGUCCGGCGCGGGCGGCAGCGGGGGCUUAUCCUACGGAGGGAACACCAUAUUGCACUCUAUUCUCCACACACACGUACAUUCCCCUGACCUAUCAACUCUUUGUUUCUUCUUGACCAGGUCUCUCAUCCGCCAACGACCACGGGCUAUUGGGGCGGAUACUGGCUCUUAGAAUCCCUACCCUCUCCUGAACCUAUUCCUCUAAUUUCCCGUUCAGUUAUAGCCCCAAAUUCUCUAAUUUUCUCUUGCUUUUGGAUUUCAGGUUGUGGUUCUGCUGGGACUCUUCUACCUCCGCUCCAGGUUCAGGUCGCCGGCCACGCGACCGCAGAGGAGCUGCUCCAGAUUCGACUGCAAGAUCAAGCUUCAUAUGUUAGGCGCAAGGUAUCAUGUAUUCGUGUAAUGCAAUAUAUGUACGCAGGUGAGGUCCAUCUUUGCUCAUCCCCAAUUUCACUAGGGAAGCCAACAUACAGCUUCUGGUAAUCCAAUGCCUACCAAUUAUUUUGGAUCUCCAGUAUGAAGGCCUUCCAAUUAACACUUCCGUUUUUGUUCUACCAAAUAGUAAAAAAAAUACUCUAUUAUACAUCAAGUUAUAUGACGUGCAGAUCGGAACUUUGAUGAAUAGAUACACAGAUCCAACUAAUGAUCCAUUAUCAGUGCACACCAUCAGUUUGAUGAAUUGUUUGACCAAACUGCAUCGAUUAAGAAAAGCUUGCCUAGACAUCUGUUGCAGCAUUGGCCAGGACUCUAUGCUCAGCUCUGCUGCCAACAAGUAAGUGUGGAGCUCAAGCAGGUUGCUCAAUGCUUGCCUCUUUCCUAACAGAGUUAAAAUUAUGUUGGGUGGCGGAGUUAAGCUUUUGCUAUGUUAUCCUGCGGAAUUAAUUUACGAAGCAUAUAGCCAGGUUAGUACAUCUAAUGUCCGUGGAGACUACAAGAGAAGAAUUUACAUCCAGACUGAAAUCAAUAGUGGGAAAGUUCAGUAAGAUAUAUACAAUCUCGACACCCAUGGUUUCUCCAGUUAUUGCGUAGUCUUUGUUUCUUACUUCUCUAUGCAACCAACUUCGGCUUACAAAAGGUAAUAUUUUGUAUAGACCAUAGUAACAACUUAUUAUUUAGUUGUUGCUUGGUGUUUGUGGCCCACAACCAAUUUCUGGAGAUUAAAAGUACCAUAGCAUUAUACAUAUUGUAGUCAUGCACUAUUUAUGGUGUGACAAUCCAUGUAAAUAGGAUUUGAUCAGUUUGGAUUCAGUUUCAUGCUAAUAAGUUACCAAUAUAAACAUAUAUUUGGUAUCAUCAAUGUUUAGAAGCUUCACAGCAGGUUUCUUAAGAAGUCGCACCAUUACAAAUGAAAUGAGUAUAUCCUUACUACUAUUGUUUUAAGCGAUUCUAAGAUUUGCUAGCCCAUGGAGUGCCCGGGUUGAUGAUAGUAAUGAUAAUUUCUUUGAAUUUGUGAUAGGGGGAAUACAUAUUUCUAUAUCAGCGGUUGGCUCUUUGACGAAAGUGGCAUUGGUUCGGUGGCUCCAAGGUCUCUGAAUUUUAUAUGUUGGUUGGCAACAAUAGCUCGGAAGGGAACUCUAUAGUGUUUGGUCACAUGGUAUAAUGGUGUGUAGUAUUAAGACUAUGUCGUUUGAUUUUUGUGAUGUUGUAUAGCAGAGAGAAGUUAGUUGUGAUUUUUUUUCUUCAGUUCUUUUUUUUAAUGGGCAUCUAGCUGGCACACUCUGGUGUCAAUAUUUUAUUUGUAAUACUAAUGUCUUUAUCUACAUUUAGUGAAAUCCCAGUGAAUAAGAGUAAGUAUA